rnacentral:rRNA from 1 species
UGCUAGAUUAGCCAUGCAUGUCUAAGUAUAAGCAAUUAUACAGCGAAACUGCGAAUGGCUCAUUAAAUCAGUUAUCGUUUAUUUGAUAGUACCUUACUACAUGGAUAACCGUGGUAAUUCUAGAGCUAAUACAUGCUGAAAACCCCGACUUCGGAAGGGGUGUAUUUAUUAGAUUAAAAACCAAUGCCCUUCGGGGCUCACUGGUGAUUCAUGAUAACUUCUCGAAUCGCACGGCCUUGCGCCGGCGAUGGUUCAUUCAAAUUUCUGCCCUAUCAACUUUCGACGGCUGGGUCUUGGCCAGCCGUGGUGACAACGGGUAACGGAGGGUUAGGGCUCGACCCCGGAGAAAACGCCUGAGAAACGGCGUUUACAUCCAAGGAAGGCAGCAGGCGCGCAAAUUACCCAAUGCCGACACGGCGAGGUAGUGACGAGAAAUACUGAUACAGGGCUCUUUUGGGUCUUGUAAUUGGAAUGAGUACAAUUUAAAUCUCUUAACGAGGAACAAUUGGAGGGCAAGUCUGGUGCCAGCAGCCGCGGUAAUUCCAGCUCCAAUAGCGUAUAUUAAAGUUGUUGCAGUUAAA